CACAGAGAAGAGGGAGUGGCAGAGAGAGUAAGAGUUAAGAGUGUGAGAGUGUGAGAGUGUGAAUGUGUGGGUGAGUGUGAGUGAGAGUGCGCAUACUUGUGUAAUAUUUCUGAAAUUAAUAAAAGUUCGGCCUAUCUCACCCAAAUCAAAGUAUACGAGUUAGUGUUCAGGAGAGCUCCUAUAAGUGGUAUUGGAGCACCUAUAAGUGGUACCACGGCUCCUACAAUUGGUAUUGGAGCGGGUCGAUUAGGGACCGAGAUACCGCGGAAGGGUCAACGUUAGUCUUAGUGUGAGUUCCGUCAGGGACCGAGGUGCAACUGAAGUGAGGACGGUCAGGGAUCGCUGCUAAGGGGAGACUCCACCGGAGUUGAGUCGGUGAGGAACGAGACUCAAAUGAGGUUCUGUCAAAGUCAAGAAAUCGGUCAGAGAUCGAGGGGAGAUGUUGCGAGCAACCAAGUCAGGGACUAUGAGUUAUUGGUAUGGGACCAUCGCGAGCAUGUGAGGAGGCUAAGUGACAAGUAUGGUGGAGUUCAAUAUGAUACGACUCCGGGUCAAACUAACAAGCUUAGGUCGGAAGGACUUCGAACCAGUGAUGAUGAAUUGCACAUUCUAACCAGACCGAUUACGAGAGCACGUGCCCAGCAACUUCAACAGACCAUGCAAGGAUUGGUGCUACGCAUUCUCGAUGAACCAUCGACGGGGAUACAUGUCAGGAAUGUGAACAUUAUACAAGUCCAGCUCGAAUAUGACCAGAUCACAAGUUUGAGCCCGAGAAUCAUGGAGGAACAAGUGCCGGGUCCCACUACCACACUUAAGUGCAUAAAUUCGGUGGUAAAAUACCUGAUUUGACUUGAGUGGGUACUUCAUUUAUUGCCACCUACAUUUUGGACGAAUUUUGGAGGAAUGUGACAGAUUUCUUCUCAUGCAAUAACAAGAAGACUCCCAACUACCUUCAUUUAAUAGUCUUCUCUUUUCUAUGUUGUUUUCUCUUUCCCAUGCUUGGGAAUUGUUGUUUUGACUUUUAUUCUCUAGGAAUUAUCUGAUGGUGAAGAGCUUUACAUAAACUCCAUUAGGUCAUUAGGGUGAGGGGAUUAUUUUUUUUAGAAUAUUGUGAGAAUUUUCUCUAAGUUGUUCUUGGGCAACUUUUCGAGAUUGUAAGCUUGGAUGCUUGUAAUUCUCAGCUUAUUAUAAUAUUGGUUCUUGGUUUUCUAUAAUCAUCGGGUCAAUAUUCCAUUUCUUUAUAAUAUUGGUUCUUGGUUUUCUAUAACCAUCGGGUUAGUAUUCCAUCUCUCUUAACCUCUAUUGGCGAUCCGGGUUCAAUUUUCAAUCUUUGUUGUCGGGUCUUGCAGCAGGUCUCGUGGGGUUCGCAUCACAAUACAAUCGCCAAUAUAAAGAAAUUAAACAACUUGGAUUACAGCACGUGAAAAACGUGUAUGGAGUCAUACUUGUUGGGCCAAGAUAUCUGGGAGAUCGUUGGCGACAGUGAGACCACCCACUGAUGAUACCGCCGCUCUUAGGAAAUAGAAGAUCAAGGCCGGGAAGGCCAUGUUCGCGAUUAAGGUCUCAGUCGAGGAGGACAUGCUGGAACAUAGCAGAUAUUGGAGUUGGGUCCCGAGUCAAAAAUUAAUGAAGGAAGGAUGCGAAAGAUAAUUAUUCAUGGAUUAAGGCCCGAGUAUAGGAGUUUUAUUGUCGCAGUUCAGGGGUGGCCAGUCCAACCAUCCGUGGAGGACCUGGAGAAUCUUCCUGCUAAUCAGGAGACUCUAGGACAAUAAAUGGCCGGAAUUUCUUUGAAAAGCGAGGAGAAAGCUUUAUAUAGCAGUAAGAAGAGAAACGACAGACAGACGCUCCAUGAGAAGAGCUUCCAAGUAGGGGGAGCUCGUCGGGACCAAGACCACAGAGGCCAAGAAAGUGAAGGCCAAGAGUACGGGUCUAGGAGGCCCAACUUAAUCUGCUAUAAUUGCAACAAGUGAGGGCAUUACGCUUGGGAUUGUAGAUUGAUGAAGAAAGUUACUUAAGGUAACACGGCAAUAAAGGCCCAUAAAGAUAAUGAAUAUUGGGAUGAGGAUGAGAUGGAGUAAUUCCAGGAAAAGGAGGUAAUUACAGCGUCAACUAUAGCAGCGAAGGACACAGAGCAGCUUGCACUAGCAGUGCCGAAGUCCAAUGGAGUCGAUUACAACGAAGAUUGGAUCAUCGACUAUGGGUGUUCCAACCACAUGACCAGCGACGAAAGAAAGCUUCGGAGUACAUCAACCUAUAGAGGAAACAAUGUCAUCGUGUUGGCAGACAACACCAAGCUACCAAUUGCCAACAUUGGAAAGGCUGAGAUUUCUCCAAAGCUCAACUCUAUGAAGUUGCAGCUACGGAAUGCCUACCAUGUCCCUAGAAAAGAAUCUACUUUCAGUGGCACAAUUGACAUCAAUCGGCAAUUAUGUGGAGUUUGGCACAAAGGAUGUGAAAGUGUAUCGGAAUAUGAGAUUUUUCGGUACACCAAUUAUGGAAGGUAGGCGGAAGAAUUCUGUCUAUGUUAUGUCAGCAGAGAAGAGUUACGUACACAAUGUAUAGAAAAAUAAAACUGCAGACUUAUACAUGCAUGUCUCGAACAUGUAAAUUAUCGUAAGUUGAAGGUGAUGAUGAAUAAGUCGAUGCUGAGGGAUUGCCUCAACUCAAGGUGCAUGAAGAUAUAGUCUAUCCAGGAUGCUAGUACCGGAAGGCCCAUCAACUGCCCUACAAGGAGUCUUGGCCAUAGCAAAGGAACCGUUGGAGCUUAUCCACUCAAAUGUGUUCAAACGAGUGAAUGAACCAUCUAUCGGAGGCAUGAGCUUAUCCAUUCAACUGUCCAGGUACGUUUGGGUUUACUUUAUGAAAGAAAAGUCUGAGACUCUGACAAAGUUUAAGGAGUUUAAGGAGAAGGUCGAGGGGAGACUGGUAGGAAGAUAAAGUGUUUGGCAGACAGACAACGGGAGUGAAUAUACAUCCCAGGAGUUCACGGAUUAUCUAUGCCAGUAUAAGAGCCGCGGGCAAUUGACGAAACCAAGUACCCCAAAGAAAAAUGGGGUGGCAGAAAAGAAGAAUCGGCAUCUUGCAGAAGUAUGCCGAAAAAUUGUUGCAUGCCAAGCAUGUACCCAGCAAAUUAUAGGCGGAGUGCAUGAAGACAGCUGCGCACAUCAUGAACAGGCUUCCUCAACCGAAGUUGGGAUUCGUCUCGCAUAUCAGAAGUUAUGGAAGGUCAAACCACAGUGAGUCAUUUUCGAGUUUUUGGGUACGUUUGCUAUGUAUUCGUGUCUGAUCAUUUGAGGAGCAAGUUUGACAAGAAAGCGGUCAAAUGAAUAUUCACGCUUUAUGACAGCGAGAGAAAAAGAUGUAGAUGUUAUGACCCAAACACGAACAAAAUCUAUGUCUCAAGGAACGUGAUAUUUGAUGAAUCCUCAUCUUGGUGGGUCUCGAAGCAUGUAUUCUUCCCCGAGUCCGAGGCAAGACAGGAUUCGGAAGAAGAGAAGAUGGGGGAGCAACUAGAAGAAGAGGAAGUUCAAGAUUCAUAACCACCAAUUCGGUCGCCUAAAAGGAAGGCGAUUCCUUGGAAAACUGGUGUGUAUCGAAGGUCACAAGAACCAGAGACUUCGCGAGAAGAGGAGUUAAAGGAACAGCCCCAACUGCAGCUAAGAAGAUCAAGCAGACUAAGGAAGUCGAAUCCCAAAUACGUUAGUGUGGCUCUUGUUCAAGCAAAUGACCAUCAGCGCAGAAUACCUCGACAUAAAGAGUUAGUGUUGAGAGGAGUGUUAGAAAUCGACACUAAUCGAGAGUUCUUUAGAGUGAUUAUUAUCUAGACUUUUUAUUACUCUUCAAGAUUCUAUAUAGAUACAUUAGGGUCUAGGAUUGUAUGGAAAAAUCUAGGGGCAGAAAUCUAGAUAUAGUAUAAGGACCAAAGUAGAAUAACUUA